rnacentral:lncRNA from 1 species
UUUUUACAAAAAAAAAAAAAAAAAAAAAAAACGAAAAACCUCAAAUCAAAUCAUACCUUCUUGAGCUGAUGUUUAAACGAUACUGGUCUGCAAAAGAUACUGGUCUGCAAAAGAAAAUUCAGUGUGACAAAACCACACAUAAACAUUCAUCAGAUAUUAUCAACAUAGAAUAUAGGCAUUACAUUGUAAAAAUGAAGUAGACAGAGAUUUCUUUGUACAUAGUUGUUGAAAUACAUAAAUGUGUAGCACUUAUAAAUAAAACUAAAUAAAUGUGUUACUUAUGAUGAAAUAUGCAUCAAUGUGCCCUAGCUACCCUAUAACUUCAUCAAAUUCAAAUGUAUCUACACAUGCAAAUGACUAGUUUAUGAUUGGCCAUAAUUAUUUUGCUUGGUAUACAAGGAUUUUGGAACAUCAUGUAAUUAGAGCUGAGAUACUAUACCCUUAUUGCAGGAUCUAUGGAUCAAUGAUGAAUGAUACAUAUGACAACAAAUUAACCGUAGCCUUGAAUACAAAGUUAAUAAAAUGCAAUCACUAGGUUCAACUUUGCCAAGCCUUUUUGUUUAUAUAUCGUCAUUUUGAGCUAACAAUGAGCUUCAUAAUGUGGCUUAUAUAUUAUCGAUCAAAGUCACCAAUAUUUUUGCCUAGAUCGAUCGAGCCAGUUAGGGUUUUUAAUAUAUAUUCAAUUCAGCUCCACUCAUGUUGCAAAAUAUACAAAAAAAUGUCGGUUGAAAUAUGCGAAAUAUAAUUCAUGUCAUAUGCUUAAAAACUAUUUUAGAGGCCGACCUUCAAUGGUGGCAUGUAAAUAACACAUUUUUUUUUUUUUAUGAAAAUAUGGCCUCCUCAAAAAAUACUAGUGGAUGGGAAUAAAUGUUACAAAAGUACAAUAGGAAUCACAUAAUGCAGAAGCGAAGUUAGAUAGUUAAAUAGCUUCAAGAGGUACAAGAUUUGGACUAGUUAUUGUUUUUAGAAUAGGCCAGUUUGCUUUUUGGGAGACCAAAACCACACACACCCUAGAGAGAGAAAAGCCUAGAACAAGAAAGAAAUAACCUAGAAGACUACAACCAAGAACACACAAGAAACCAAGAAAAAGAGUGAUGAAUAGAGAAACAGAAGGAUCAGCAAGCAACAGAAGAUAAGGUCGUUAUUGCAUUUUUUUUUUCUCUCUCUUUAAUUCUUCUCUACUACUGAAACACUAGCAGUAGCAGCAGCAACAGCAGAGCAGAAGCAGCAGAGGAAGAGCAGCACUACUGCUCCUGCUCUCUCUGGUGAAGAAGUUCAGACUCUUUCUUUGAAACAGAACCCCACUUUUUGGUAGAAAAAUUCAACAGUAACAACAAUACCAGAAGAAAAAGAUAUAUAAAACAAGAAAACAAAAGUAGAUUUUGUGAAGACAAGUUGAGAGAAAAAAAUCCGUUUUUUUUUUUUUUUUUUUCUCUUGAACAGUAUUCACUCAUCAGCUUCAUCUCUGCUCUUUCUCGAUUUGUUUAAAACAGUUCAAAACUUGUUCGAUUUGUGCAAAACAGUUCAAAACUUGUUCGAUUUGUUUAAAACAGUUCAAAACUUGUUCGAUUUGUUUAAAACUUGUUCGAUUUGUUUAAAACAGUUCAAAACUUGUUCGACUUGUUUAAAACUUGUUCGAUUUGUUUAAAACUUGUUCGAUUUGUUUCAAAAAGUUCAAACUUUAUGAUGCAUACCUUCAAACUUGUUCGAUUUGUUUCAAAAAAGUUUAAUAAAAAGUUUAAAAAAGUUUGAUUUGUUCGACAGUAGUGAGAGUACAAUGAUGCAUACCUUCAAACAGCCUUCACCACGAGUUUCGCCACCAGAUCUGCCGCCAUUGAAGUUCUGAAGCUUUUUUGUUAUGAGAUUAGGUUUUGCUGUGUUUUUUUUACCUAUAUACCCUGCAAAAAAACGUGGUUGGAGUGGCAAAGCAAAUUUUGCUUGGGGGGUACCUAAGCAAAAUUUUCCCGCAUAUAAGCGGGCAAACAGGGUCACGUGAGGGCUUAGCGGCAAACAUUGCCGAAUCAUCCAGUUACGUUAUCAAACGAGGGCAAACACAAAAAAUGCGGGAAAAUAGGGAUUUGCCGCAGGAAAAGGACGUUAUCAAACACCACCUUAAUUUCGCAAAUUCUUCAAAUCAAUCUUUCUGAUGUUCUUCUCUCUGCAAUGCAAACAUAGAAGAUCUAUAAGUGAAUGUUAGAUUAUCUUUCCGCCAUUGUUGAGUUCUUCAAGCUCUGUACCUCCUCUGUUUUCUCAACACUAAAAAGACAAAAACAAAAAAAACAAAACAAAGUUGUAAAAAAUACGAAGAAAUUGAAUGAAUCUAGCUAGUUCAAAACUUUAAAUUAGUACUAAAAGCAAAAGAAGAAACAUAGAUCAGGAAAAAGCUGGACAAUUAGAGGACGAUAUUUAUUUGUGUGUUUGUUCUAAUUCAUCGACAUUUUGAUAAGAAAAGCAAAGAUGUAACCGAUAUUUUUCAUACAAAGCAUCCCUUGCCCAUCUGCAUCGACAUUUAGAACCAAGAAAUUGGCCAAUGAUUGAAGUGGUUUAACUAUACAACCAAAAACGAAUGAUAUCCAAAGUUGUUCUUUAUUCGUACCCCUUGCCCAUCUGCAUCUGUUACAAAUUCCCAAUUACAGAGAAAGAGCGACUAAUCUGAGGAUUUUGAGUAGUUUACAACCAGUUUCACCAACAACAAAAAAAAAAAAAACAAUAGUAGUAGCGUGAUUUUCCACUGGAUGUAAGAAUCCCAUUUCAAUAUUUGUAUAUAGGUAGUCUUUGUUUUUGCUUCUCAAAAUAUUUGUCUUUGUCUUUGUUUCUCAAUAUACUUGAAAGCUUGAAUACCCAAAUCCGCAACAAAAAACCCCUUAAACCUCUUAAAUUAAACCCAAAUCUUGUAUAGAAAGCUUCAACAAUUAAUAAAAGACAAUCUAUUGGGUAGUCAUCCUAAUCUUCUGGUUCAGGAAACAUCUGGUCUUGUUGAUGAAGAACAACACAUACAAGCUUGUGCACUACACGUGAUCUAUAGGUGAGGGUAGUUUUGCCUUUUAAUAAAUUAGUUUGGUUCAGCUUCCGGUUCAU